rnacentral:rRNA from 1 species
CCUACGGGAGGCAGCAGUGAGGAAUAUUGGUCAAUGGGCGCGAGCCUGAACCAGCCAAGUAGCGUGAAGGAUGACUGCCCUACGGGUUGUAAACUUCAUUUAUAAAGGAAUAAAGUGAGGCACGUGGGCCUUUUUGUAUGGACGUUAUGAAUAAGGAUCGGCUAACUCCGUGCCAGCAGCCGCGGUAAUACGGAGGAUCCGAGCGUUAUCCGGAUUUAGUGGGUUGAAAGGGAGCGUAGAUGGGUUGUUAAGUCAGUUGUGAACGUUUGCGGCUCAACCGUACAAUUGCCAUUGAUACUGGCAGCCUUGCGUACAGUUGCGGUCGGCGGACUUCGUGGUGUAGCGGU